CGCAAAAUGUGCACGCGAUUAAGCGAGCGUACAGGGUCCGAAGCGACUGUCCCUACGUGAAAAAAAUGCGUCCCGUCUUGUGCCCAAGGAUGGACUGGCGAGCCGGAGACUCCGAACAUAUUUAGGGCCGUGCCGGCCCGUAGCGUAGUCGACACUGUUGUUCGAGAUCUGCUCAAAGUCUUCGGCCUCUUAGCAGACCGGCGAGAACUCCCGUCAGCAGUAGGCGCACCUGCGUGAUGAAGUGUUUUGUGCCAGGAUGCCCUAAUCGAACAGAAAAUGGCGCGAUGGCCUGUCCUUCCAUAGACGCUUGCAAAGAACGAUGCCACAGCAAUGAGUCAACCUUAAAGUGAAGCAGCUACAUCCACGGGAACAUAACAGCAUCAAGUUGAGCCAGUAAGUUGUCCAAGGCCCUCCAGGACGCUCAAGGGUGAAGCUUCUGCAGCACUGCCUACACACAACCCAGCGACACC